rnacentral:rRNA from 1 species
ACUCCUACGGGAGGCAGCAGUGGGGAAUAUUGCACAAUGGAGGAAACUCUGAUGCAGCAACGCCGCGUGGAGGAUGACACAUUUCGGUGCGUGAACUCCUUUUAUAUGGGAAGAUAAUGACGGUACCAUAUGAAUAAGCACCGGCUAACUCCGUGCCAGCAGCCGCGGUAAUACGGAGGGUGCAAGCGUUACUCGGAAUCACUGGGCGUAAAGCGCGCGCAGGCGGCUAUUUAAGUUGGAUGUGAAAGCCUACGGCUCAACCGUAGAACUGCAUCCAAAACUAUUUAGCUAGAGUGUGGGAGAGGAAGAUGGAAUUAGUUGUGUAGGGGUAAAAUCCGUAGAGAUAACUAGGAAUACCAAAAGCGAAGGCAAUCUUCUGGAACACUACUGACGCUGAGGCGCGAAGGCGUGGGGAGCAAACAGGAUUAGAUACCCUGGUAGUCCACGCAGUAAACGAUGAAUGUUAGUCGUCGGGUAGCUAGUCUAUUCGGUGAUGCAGCUAACGCAUUAAACAUUCCGCCUGGGGAGUACGGUCGCAAGAUUAAAACUCAAAGGAAUAGACGGGGACCCGCACAAGUGGUGGAGCAUGUGGUUUAAUUCGAAGAUACGCGAAGAACCUUACCUAGCCUUGACAUAUAUNAGAACUCCGCAGAGAUGCAGAGGUGCCUUCGGGAGCUUUUAUACAGGUGCUGCACGGCUGUCGUCAGCUCGUGUCGUGAGAUGUUGGGUUAAGUCCCGCAACGAGCGCAACCCUCGUCACUAGUUACUNANCGGUUCGGCCGAGGACUCUNGUGAGACUGNCUUUCGUAAGGANGAGGAAGGUGAGGACNACNUCAAGUCAUCNNGGCCCUUACNGCUAGGGCAACACACGUGCUACAAUGG